rnacentral:rRNA from 1 species
CAGCCGCCGCGGUAAUACGGAGGGGGCUAGCGUUGUUCGGAAUUACUGGGCGUAAAGCGCACGUAGGCGGCUUUGUAAGUUAGAGGUGAAAGCCUGGGGCUCAACUCCAGAAUUGCCUUUAAGACUGCAUCGCUUGAACGUCGGAGAGGUGAGUGGAAUUCCGAGUGUAGAGGUGAAAUUCGUAGAUAUUCGGAAGAACACCAGUGGCGAAGGCGGCUCACUGGACGACUGUUGACGCUGUGGUGCGAAAGCGUGGGGAGCAAACAGGAUUAGAUACCCCUGUAGUCCCUGUCUCUUAUAA